CUACGGGCGGCUCCAGUGGGGAAUAUUGCACAAUGGAGGAAACUCUGAUGCAGCAACGCCGCGUGGAGGAUGACACUUUUCGGAGCGUAAACUCCUUUUAUAUAGGAAGAAGAUGACGGUACUAUAUGAAUAAGCGCCGGCUAACUCCGUGCCAGCAGCCGCGGUAAUACGGAGGGCGCAAGCGUUACUCGGAAUCACUGGGCGUAAAGAGCGUGUAGGCGGAUUAAAAAGUCAGAAGUGAAAUCCUAUAGCUUAACUAUAGAACUGCUUCUGAAACUCUUAAUCUAGAAUAUGGGAGAGGUAGAUGGAAUUUCUGGUGUAGGGGUAACAUCCGUAGAGAUCAGAAGGAAUACCGAUUGCGAAGGCGAUCUACUAGAACAUUAUUGACGCUGAGACGCGAAAUCGUGGGGAGCAAACAGGAUUAGAUACCCUAGUAGUC
rnacentral:rRNA from 1 species